rnacentral:rRNA from 1 species
AGUGAACGCUGGCGGUAGGCCUAACACAUGCAAGUCGAACGGCAGCACAGGAGAGCUUGCUCUCUGGGUGGCGAGUGGCGGACGGGUGAGGAAUACAUCGGAAUCUACUCUGUCGUGGGGGAUAACGUAGGGAAACUUACGCUAAUACCGCAUACGACCUACGGAUGAAAGCAGGGGAUCUUCGGACCUUGCGCGAUUGAAUGAGCCGAUGUCGGAUUAGCUAGUUGGCGGGGUAAAGGCCCACCAAGGCGACGAUCCGUAGCUGGUCUGAGAGGAUGAUCAGCCACACUGGAACUGAGACACUGUCCAGACUCCUACGGGAGGCAGCAGUGGGGAAUAUUGGACAAUGGGCGCAAGCCUGAUCCGGCCAUACCGCGUGGGUGAAGAAGGCCUUCGGGUUGUAAAGCCCUUUUGUUGGGAAAGAAAUCCAGCUGGCUAAUACCCGGUUGGGAUGACGGUACCCAAAGAAUAAGCACCGGCUAACUUCGUGCCAGCAGCCGCCGUAA